rnacentral:tRNA from 1 species
GCUCUUUUAGUCUAAGGGACGUCGAAUUGUGGGUUCGGAGGAUUUAGGGGGCA